UGGGGAAUAUUGCACAAUGGGGGGAACCCUGAUGCAGCGACGCCGCGUGAGCGAAGAAGUAUUUCGGUAUGUAAAGCUCUAUCAGCAGGGAAGAAAAUGACGGUACCUGACUAAGAAGCCCCGG
rnacentral:rRNA from 1 species